GGAAAAAAAAAGACUGCUUCUUUCCUCUCCAUCAUUUCUUCUCUCCCCUCCCUAGCCCCCUUCUUCUUCCCCAGAACACUUAGUGACAAAGAAAAGCAGCCCAGAAUCUGCUAAAGUUGGAUGUCGUUAGGCCAGGCCACAGGAUGGUGCUAGAUGAGAGGAUGAGGGCAGGGAGUGUUGCCUAAGCUCUCAGCAUCAGAGCUGAACAAAGCUCCCUGCGGGAAAGCGGAGUACUUGCUGGCCUCAUGCUGCCACCCUGCCUAGUCUUUCUCCCACUGCUCUCUCAGAGAUGGGUAAGAAAGAACUGAUCGGGGGCAAUGAGGUGUCCUUGUGCAGAAAAAAAGAGGGGACCUGGCCAAAUAGGGAAGAGAUAUACAGUGCAUUGGCUAUUCCCUUCCCUGACCAGGGGUGCACCUUCUCCCAACUUGACCACAACACAGGGAGAUUUCAAGGCAGUGUACCCUUUCCCAGACUCAGUUUCCCCUUUAGAGAGGAGCGGGGAAGGAGAUGGGUAGUAAUUGUUUAUUUUUUCCCUCUUUUCUUUUUCUCCUCCACUUACCCCUUUUCUUCUCUCUUUUCCCAUAAAUUUCAGGGAGCCCCUCACUUUCCCAUACCAACAGACCUCGACUUUCCUUUCAGCUGGAUUCAGAGCAUGGUCUCAUGCUGGUUGGAGGACCUGGAGACCCACAAGUGCAACCAGAGGACCGACACUAUUGACUUCCUAUGGCCCUGGGCCCAGACUGGCUUCAGUGCUGAGGACCGGGAAGAGCUGCAGACAAACUUACAGGUGUGAGAGCCCUAGAAUCCCAGGAAUUCAACACUAUUUAACACAAGAGUCUUAGGAUUUGCCUAAUGUGAGCAAUAGGUUCUGACAAGAUGGUGGGCUCCUCUAAGAAGCUUGUCUAAUGAAGUAAAAAGAAAAGAAAAUUGAGGUAAAUUUCAUGUUCCUAGCUUAAGCUUCUUUUUCCCAUAUCCAUACCAGCUAUUCUGCAGAGCAAUUUGGAAGUAUUACAGAAAGUAAAAAAAUAUAUAUAUAUAUAUACCUCAGAUCCUCCCCUUUAGGAACCCUUUUAUGCUCCAAGGACUGGCAUUGCAAGGCUGCCACACCUAGAAGUUUGCUACCAAUAGCCCCUCCUUCCCCUACACCUGUUGGAACUCCAGAACAAAGCAAAGUGGUUCCACUUCUUAGGACCUUGUUACUCCCCAUGCUAUGACCUGACAAGUCCAUGACUAUACAAAUCUGCUCCACUCCUCAGUGUUUGUCCUUGGCAUGUUCCGAUGCCCCUACACUUGCCUGUCAUGUUUGUAUUCAUAACCAAUAGAAACCCCUGAUUGUGUAUGGGUCAUGUAACCUAUGGAAACCCUCCCCCACUGAUGGUGUAUAAAAUAGCAAGAGCUCCUGGCCUCAGGGCCCAGCCCUUGGAGGAAUGAUCCUGGCUGAGUCUGCAUGCACAUGCAUAAUAAAUCUCCUUCUUUCCUUCCUUCCUUCUUUUGA
rnacentral:lncRNA from 1 species